rnacentral:rRNA from 1 species
ACGCUGGCGGCAGGCCUAACACAUGCAAGUCGAACGGUAACAGGAAGCAGCUUGCUGCUUUGCUGACGAGUGGCGGACGGGUGAGUAAUGUCUGGGAAACUGCCUGAUGGAGGGGGAUAACUACUGGAAACGGUAGCUAAUACCGCAUAACGUCGCAAGACCAAAGAGGGGGACCUUCGGGCCUCUUGCCAUCGGAUGUGCCCAGAUGGGAUUAGCUAGUAGGUGGGGUAAAGGCUCACCUAGGCGACGAUCCCUAGCUGGUCUGAGAGGAUGACCAGCCACACUGGAACUGAGACACGGUCCAGACUCCUACGGGAGGCAGCAGUGGGGAAUAUUGCACAAUGGGCGCAAGCCUGAUGCAGCCAUGCCGCGUGUAUGAAGAAGGCCUUCGGGUUGUAAAGUACUUUCAGCGGGGAGGAAGGGAGUAAAGUUAAUACCUUUGCUCAUUGACGUUACCCGCAGAAGAAGCACCGGCUAACUCCGUGCCAGCAGUCGCGGUAAUACGGAGGGUGCAAGCGUUAAUCGGAAUUACUGGGCGUAAAGCGCACGCAGGCGGUUUGUUAAGUCAGAUGUGAAAUCCCCGGGCUCAACCUGGGAACUGCAUCUGAUACUGGCAAGCUUGAGUCUCGUAGAGGGGGGUAGAAUUCCAGGUGUAGCGGUGAAAUGCGUAGAGAUCUGGAGGAAUACCGGUGGCGAAGGCGGCCCCCUGGACGAAGACUGACGCUCAGGUGCGAAAGCGUGGGGAGCAAACAGGAUUAGAUACCCUGGUAGUCCACGCCGUAAACGAUGUCGACUUGGAGGUUGUGCCCUUGAGGCGUGGCUUCCGGAGCUAACGCGUUAAGUCGACCGCCUGGGGAGUACGGCCGCAAGGUUAAAACUCAAAUGAAUUGACGGGGGCCCGCACAAGCGGUGGAGCAUGUGGUUUAAUUCGAUGCAACGCGAAGAACCUUACCUGGUCUUGACAUCCACGGAAGUUUUCAGAGAUGAGAAUGUGCCUUCGGGAACCGUGAGACAGGUGCUGCAUGGCUGUCGUCAGCUCGUGUUGUGAAAUGUUGGGUUAAGUCCCGCAACGAGCGCAACCCUUAUCCUUUGUUGCCAGCGGUCCGGCCGGGAACUCAAAGGAGACUGCCAGUGAUAAACUGGAGGAAGGUGGGGAUGACGUCAAGUCAUCAUGGCCCUUACGACCAGGGCUACACACGUGCUACAAUGGCGCAUACAAAGAGAAGCGAUCUCGCGAGAGCAAGCGGACCUCAUAAAGUGCGUCGUAGUCCGGAUUGGAGUCUGCAACUCGACUCCAUGAAGUCGGAAUCGCUAGUAAUCGUGGAUCAGAAUGCCACGGUGAAUACGUUCCCGGGCCUUGUACACACCGCCCGUCACACCAUGGGAGUGGGUUGCAAAAGAAGUAGGUAGCUUAACCUUCGGGAGGGCGCUUACCACUUUGUGAUUCAUGAAUGGG